CAUGCAGUCGAGGGGCAGCAGCAAGGACUUCGGUUCUUGGCUGGCGACCGGCGAACGGGUGCGUAACGCGUAUGCAACCUACCUCGUACAGGCGGAUAGCCCGGAAAAAUCCGGAUUAAUACGCCAUAGUAUUAGUGAUCUGCAUGGAUUACUAAUUAAAGUUUCGGCGGUACGAGAUGGGCAUGCGUGUCAUUAGCUAGAUGGUGAGGUAACGGCUCACCAUGGCUACGAUGACUAGGGGUCCUGAGAGGGAGACCCCCCACACUGGAACUGAGACACGGUCCAGACUCCUACGGGAGGCAGCAGUGAGGAAUAUUGGACAAUGGGCGCAAGCCUGAUCCAGCCAUGCCGCGUGCAGGAAGACGGCCUUAUGGGUUGUAAACUGCUUUUGCAAGGGGAGAAUGACCGUUUCGAGUAAACGGGAGUGACGGUACCUUGCGAAUAAGCACCGGCUAACUCCGUGCCAGCAGCCGCGGUAAUACGGAGGGUGCAAGCGUUAUCCGGAAUUAUUGGGUUUAAAGGGUCCGUAGGCGGCUAGAUAAGUCAGUGGUGAAAUUCUCUCGCUCAACGAGAGACCUGCCAUUGAUACUGUUUUGGCUAGAGUUACAGUGAGGUGAGUGGAAUGUGUGGUGUAGCGGUGAAAUGCAUAGAUAUCACACAGAACACCGAUUGCGAAGGCAGCUCACUAACUGUAUACUGACGCUGAUGGACG
rnacentral:rRNA from 1 species